UUUUAUUGUAUCUUGAAAGCAUUUUUAAAUUUUUAAGGGAAUGUAUUUACACGCUUUAAAACUGUUAUAUUUUAGUAAUAUUGUUUUACUUUUCUUAUUUCAAUUUUUCUAUUUAACUUUUGUAACAAUUGUAAUAAGCCCAAUUGGCCCGGGCCCUUUACAAAACAAAAAUGGGCAGUCCAAGCCCAAUAAUCCUAAACCUAGCCCAACUAACAUCCCAAAUUCCCCAAACCCUAGCCGCAUGUUUGCUCAGCGCCUCCAGCACUCUCUAGUUGUCGCACGUCUCGGAGCCUCUUCCCUGCGCCGUAAUCUCCACGAAUACCUGCAUAACAGAUUCAAAGAGUCCAAUAGAGAAAUAAUAGGGUAAAGAAAUCAGUUUCGGGCUAUAUAUAAAGCCGUGUUAUUCUGUAAAAGAGGGGGAAUUUUCGGUAAAAGAUAUAUGAAAAUAGAGAGGAAAAUACAAAGAAAAACUGAAUACCAGUACUUUUCUUCGAAUACAAGGGUGAUUUUUAUUUCGUUUUACUUUGUAGUGUUGUUGUUCUUUCAUUCUUAUUUGAAUAUAUACAUAUAUUUUACAUAUUUUUUUUUAUUUUUUUACUUAAAAUAAAAAAGGAAAGCCUACCUUUUCACCGGAGCCACCGUGCCGCCACCAUCUCCGUCGCAAUCGGGGCUUGGGUGAAGGAGCAGGUGAUCGGCGACGCUAAAAAGGUUGAAGAAACCCUAGUAGGGUGAAUAAAAGGGCAGCAUUUAGUUUUAUUUUUUUAAAAUG
rnacentral:lncRNA from 1 species